GACGAACGCUGGCGGCGUGCUUAACACAUGCAAGUCGAGCGGUAAGGCCCUUUCGGGGGUACACGAGCGGCGAACGGGUGAGUAACACGUGGGUGACCUGCCCUCAGCUCUGGGAUAAGCCUGGGAAACCGGGUCUAAUACCGGAUAUGACUCCAUGACGCAUGUUGUGGGGUGGAAAGCCUUGUGCGGCUGAGGAUGGGCCCGCGGCCUAUCAGCUUGUUGGUGGGGUGGAUGGCCUACCAAGGCGACGACGGGUAGCCGGCCUGAGAGGGCGACCGGCCGACACUGGGACUGAGACACGGCCCAGACUCCUACGGGAGGCAGCAGUGGGGAAGUCUUGCGCAAUGGGCGAAAGCCUGACGCAGCGACGCCGCGUGAGGGAU
rnacentral:rRNA from 1 species